CGAGCGAACAGAUGAGGAGCUUGCUCCUCUGACGUUAGCGGCGGACGGGUGAGUAACACGUGGAUAACCUACCUAUAAGACUGGGAUAACUUCGGGAAACCGGAGCUAAUACCGGAUAAUAUAUUGAACCGCAUGGUUCAAUAGUGAAAGACGGUUUUGCUGUCACUUAUAGAUGGAUCCGCGCCGCAUUAGCUAGUUGGUAAGGUAACGGCUUACCAAGGCAACGAUGCGUAGCCGACCUGAGAGGGUGAUCGGCCACACUGGAACUGAGACACGGUCCAGACUCCUACGGGAGGCAGCAGUAGGGAAUCUUCCGCAAUGGGCGAAAGCCUGACGGAGCAACGCCGCGUGAGUGAUGAGGGUCUUCGGAUCGUAAAACUCUGUUAUUAGGGAAGAACAAAUGUGUAAGUAACUAUGCACGUCUUGACGGUACCUAAUCAGAAAGCCACGGCUAACUACGUGCCAGCAGCCGCGGUAAUACGUAGGUGGCAAGCGUUAUCCGGAAUUAUUGGGCGUAAAGCGCGCGUAGGCGGUUUUUUAAGUCUGAUGUGAAAGCCCACGGCUCAACCGUGGAGGGUCAUUGGAAACUGGAAAACUUGAGUGCAGAAGAGGAAAGUGGAAUUCCAUGUGUAGCGGUGAAAUGCGCAGAGAUAUGGAGGAACACCAGUGGCGAAGGCGACUUUCUGGUCUGUAACUGACGCUGACGUGCGAAAGCGUGGGGAUCAAA
rnacentral:rRNA from 1 species